rnacentral:rRNA from 1 species
CCUACAGAGAACGAUAACCUCGGGAAACUGAGGCUAAUAGUUCAUACGGGAGUCAUGCUGGAACUGCCGACUCCCCGAAACGCUCAGGCGCUGUAGGAUGUGGCUGCGGCCGAUUAGGUAGACGGUGGGGUAACGGCCCACCGUGCCGAUAAUCGGUACGGGUUGUGAGAGCAAGAGCCCGGAGACGGAAUCUGAGACAAGAUUCCGGGCCCUACGGGGCGCAGCAGGCGCGAAACCUUUACACUGCACGCAAGUGCGAUAAGGGGACCCCAAGUGCGAGGGCAUAUAGUCCUCGCUUUUCUCGACUGUAAGGCGGUCGAGGAAUAAGAGCUGGGCAAGACCGGUGCCAGCCGCCGCGGUAAUACCGGCAGCUCAAGUGAUGACCGAUAUUAUUGGGCCUAAAGCGUCCGUAGCCGGCCAUGAAGGUUCAUCGGGAAAUCCGCCAGCUUAACUGGCGGGCGUCCGGUGAAAACCACAUGGCUUGGGACCGGAAGGCUCGAGGGGUACGUCCGGGGUAGGAGUGAAAUCCCGUAAUCCUGGACGGACCACCGAUGGCGAAAGCACCUCGAGAAGACGGAUCCGACGGUGAGGGACGAAAGCUAGGGUCUCGAACCGGAUUAGAUACCCGGGUAGUCCUAGCUGUAAACGAUGCUCGCUAGGUGUGGCACAGGCUACGAGCCUGUGCUGUGCCGUAGGGAAGCCGAGAAGCGAGCCGCCUGGGAAGUACUCC